UCAGUGGUAGUUCAGUGAUAGAAUUCUCACCUUCCAUGCAAGAGACCCACGUUCAAUUCCUGGCCAAUGUG
rnacentral:tRNA from 1 species